rnacentral:rRNA from 1 species
AAUGAACGCUGGCGGCAGGCCUAAUACAUGCAAGUCGAACGCGUGGCAGACGGGUGAGUCAUGUCUGUAAACCUGCCUGAUGGCGGGGGUUAACUACUGGAAACGGUAGCUAUACCCGAAAACCAUCAGCUGUGCCCAGAUGGGAUUGGCUUGUGGGGGGGGUAACGGCUCACCAGGGCCACGAUCACUAGCUGGUCUGAGAGUGUGACCGGCCACACUGGAACUGAGACACGGUCCAGCCUCCUACGGGAGGCAGCAGUGGGGAAUAUUGCACAAUGGGCGCAAGCCGGACGCAGCAAUGCCGCGUGUAUGAAGAAGGCCUUCGGGUUGUAAAGUACUUUCAGCGGGGAGGCGUUACCCGCAGAGGAAGCACCGGCUAACUCCGUGCCAGCAGCCGCGGUAAUUC